GUCAGGAGAAGGCAAAGGUAAUCAGCUUAAUCCAUCAGCAUGUGUGAUAUCCUUGCCAGGACAAUACUUGAACUUACAAUCAUAGGCAUUUAGCAUAAGGGACCACCUGAGAAUGCGUGGUGAAAUUAUUUGAGGAGUGGGAGUAUUGCUGGUAAACAGACCCAGUAAAGGUUUAUGAUCUGUUAUAAUAGUAAACCUCCGCCCAUAACAUAGUCGUGAAACUUUU